CUGCAGAGAAUUAUUCAGCCAAACAAUUCCAAGUAUAUCUCUGCGACAAAGGACAGAUGGGAAAGCUUUUACUCAAAGGUCCAGCUUUAUGGAGUCAUGAAAAAAGUCAUGAAGCCUCCAAAGACUCUGAAUGGAGUGGAACAUGCCUUGGCUGUCUUUGGAGCCCUGCCACUCCUCUUCCCAUCCAGCACUGUACCACCUAAGAAGUUGGGUGCAAGCAGUGAGGCCCUUUUCCAUGUCCUGACUUCAAAAGACUCUGAAGGAUACCUACGCCAGCAGCCUCUGUUGUGUCCAGUUUUGCUUGUGACUGAAGAGAACUGCAUGAUUGCCAUUGGAUGCACACCAGUGACAGUGGGAGACUGCAUGAGGGACUGCUGUACCUUAUGGCCUAUUACUGUGCCCUGCACCUCACUUACCCAAAGUGUAUUUCCACACUGCUGUCAGUGUUGCAAACAGAAAUUCUGCAAGACUCCAUCCACGACCAAGAUGCA